CCUACGGGUGGCAGCAGUGAGGAAUAUUGGUCAAUGGGCGAAAGCCUGAACCAGCCAAGUAGCGUGAAGGAUGACUGCCCUAUGGGUUGUAAACUGCUUUUAUAAAGGAAUAAAGUGAGUCACGUGUGCUUUUUUGUAUGUACUUUAUGAAUAAGGAUCGGCUAACUCCGUGCCAGCAGCCGCGGUAAUACGGAGGAUCCGAGCGUUAUCCGGAUUUAUUGGGUUUAAAGGGAGCGUAGGUGGAUUGUUAAGUCAGUUGUGAAAGUGCGGGGCUCAACCGUGGAAUUGCAGUUGAUACUGGCAGUCUUGAGUGCAGUGGAGGUAGGCGGAAUUCGUGGUGUAGCGGUGAAAUGCUUAGAUAUCACGAAGAACUCCGAUUGCGAAGGCAGCUUACUAAACUGCCACUGACGUUGAUGCUCGAAAGUGUUGGUAUCAAACAGGAUUAGAUACCCGUGUAGUC
rnacentral:rRNA from 1 species